AUAAUAAUAAUGAUGAUGAUGAUGGAGUGUAUAUUAUGAUCAGCAUGGCAAUAGCCAUUUAAUUUAUUUUUGUUGAACGAUUAUUGGUAAAAUUGCUUUAUGGUCCAAUUCUGCUAUUUGCUGUUUUAUUAAGCAGAUUAAGGAAUAAUGAUUCUCCAUCAAAAUUGAAUUCCAUUUACAUCAUGUAUUUUUUUUUUUAUCUAAAUUUCUCAAUUUAAUCUCAUUUGAAACAAAA
rnacentral:misc_RNA from 1 species